UUAAACCGAAUUUCUAGAUAGACAUACAAAAAUUCUGUUCAUCAUCGUCUAGGAAGAUAAAAUUUGAUGCUUCAUCAAUUUCUCCAAAUCAUGCCGAAAAUUUGUGGAAUGGCAGACUAGACAAUGCGCCAGUUUCAGUACUUGGGUCAGACAGUUGAAAAUACAAUCAUCCAACUCACCACUUCACUUUUACCAAACAGACCAAGAGAGCCCUCCGAUUUGCAUUAAGAGAAUCUUUCAACCUCUCCACUUGUUCGGAUUGUCAGCAAUAUAUAUUAGCAUUCAAAAAGAAGCUGUAGACAUAUCAAAAGAGGCAAUAUAAAUUAGCAUCACUAAAUAACUUCAACAGGUUCCACUAUAUUUUAGAAAUAUCAAGCGAUACUUGUAGACAAGAUCAAGAUUUGCUGAAAUCAUUGUUUUCAAUUUCUUGCAUCGUAUGCUAUGAAUAACUCACACCAUUACCAUAAGGGACAGCGUCUUCUAAGAUGAAAGGAUUAAACAAAUGUGACACAAAGAAACGUAAAUUAAUUAAAAUAAUCUAGGCUUAUUAUUAUCAGAUGAGUGUUCAAUUCUUGGCAGAACGACUCACCGGGCAACAAACCUUAUAUUUGUUUGCAUCAAAUAUUUAUAACCAUAUUUAUAACCAUAUUCGAAUACACAA
rnacentral:lncRNA from 1 species